ACUGGUAGUCCUCAGUGCUGCUUACAGGGGGAUUUCCUCCAGCUCCAAACAAUUUUUCCAUGCCAUUGAGCUUGAAAACAUCCAUAGGCACGUGGGUCUUAUCUCUCAUUUGGAACUGUACAAUCUUGAUGGUCUGCCUGAACAUAUCGCACCACCUCCUGCAUGUCUCUGAUUGCCCACAAGGAGAAAUGUCUCCUAGCGUCCCGCUCCCAGUUCUGCUCUCCCUUAUGAUGAAUCUGCCUUCAUUGCCAUUACUUUGGUGCAUAGCAAACUAACAGACAACGCAGUUUCUGUAAGCACAUGUUGAGUUUAAGCAGUGUCUUUGUGGUCUUCGCUGCCUCUGCCGCAUCCCUGUUGAUCUGGGCCUCUUUUCCCAUCUGCAAUCAUGCCAUCCUGAUGUUUUGAUGGCACUUACACCAGCAUCGACAGCACAUCUCUGAUGACGCGCACGGAGAAAUGUCCCAGAAAUUUAGCCUGAGAGCAUGCACUUGAGAGCUAAGCACUGGUGUCCUUCAUGGCUGACGUUCACUGUGACUGGUGGCCAUGCUCACCAGGAACGCAGUAAUGCUGCCAAUGACAUCUCUAUGAGGGAAAUCCAACUGAAAUCCCCGAAAACCUAAAUGGAGAAUUCCAAAUCAAUUAAUUGGCCUUAGGACACAGCAAUACAGACAAACUGUUUUGAUGGUAGGCAGUAUGAAUCUGCAGCAAAACACUCGAGAUGAAAGAAGCAAGAUAUUAACUACUAGCAAGGUCUUUGCAACCACUAACCGCUAGCUGUUUUGAUGCUUCAUGACCAUGGAAUGUUUCUGUCCUCACGUGCGUCAUGAACACAGCAUAAAAGCUCCUGCUGCAGCAGGCUCAGCAUCGUCUUUGCGUCCUUCAUUCUCCUCCAGAAACGAGGAAACGCAGGAGGUCGUCCUGGUGCAACAAGCAUCCAGUACAUCAAAGAUUUGCUGCCAGUCUUUCCAAUUGAGCCCAGAGCUUUGCCUCCCUCAGCGAGAAAUGUCGUGCUGCAGACCCUGUGUCCCAUCCCCCUGCGGUGCCUCUGGCCCAACCCCACUGGCAAGCAGCUGCAGUGAGCCAUGUGUCGCCCGCUGCGCUGACUCCACUGUGGCUAUCCGAGGCCUCCCCUGUGGUGGUGACCCUGCCGGGCCCCAUCCUCACCUCCUUCCCUCAGAACACAGCCGUGGGAUCCUCUCUGUCAGCUGCUGUUGGCAGCUCCCUCAGCACCGCGGGCGUUCCCAUCUCUUCUGGGGGCUCCCUUGGUCUGGGGGGCUCAGGGUUGUGUCUGCCUCGCCCGCCCUGCAGUUUUAACUGCUGAAGCCGAUGGAUCAUCCCAUUUAGGACAACACAUCCUGGAUACGGAUGGAUCGUGCUCUCAACCUCCCUGUAGACUGAAAGCAUGAUUCUUCCCCUCUGUACAGAGCCACUUUAGCUUUUCCUUCUCAUUAAAGACUUUGUGCAGCAUA